ensembl:lncRNA
CCAAGGUUCCAGCAUGCAAAGCCCAGGUCUCUGCAAGAGAAAUUCCGUAACACUUGACAACCUUGGACUUCCUCAUUGCUGCCGACGUGUCAAAUGAUCUGCCUGACCCUGUUUGCUGUCACUGGACCUGCUCUGCUCGCCUUGCUCAGGUACUGAAAAUACAGUGCACAGAGGAGACGGAGCAUUUCAGCAGUGUGUGUUGCUGCAGUAAGAGAUGGACUACGUUCUGAACAGGAUAACCCUACCCCAGGAAGUAUGCAACUUGCUUUAUCUGGGUUAAUGGGUGAGUAGAGCCUGACCGAGGUGACAGUGGCAGUUCCACUGGCAGCAAGUCACGGGACUGUCUGUAAUGCUAGGUUUAUAUCUGCCAGAUAAAUGGAGCCAAGUCUGGUUUGGCUAAGUCACAGUCACACAUCUUCAUAUAAUGCAAUACUUCUCGUAUAUGGGGCUUAACACCAUGAUAAAG